AACGCACCUUGCGCUCCUGGGCUAUUCCUAGGAGCAUGCCUGUUUGAGUGUCUUGAAAUCAUCAACCCCAGUUGGAUUUGAAAUUUGACUGGUGGCUUGGACUUGGGGGUUUGCUGGCCGUUUUGAUUCGGUCUGGCUCCCCUUGAAUGUAUUAGCCAGACUUCGGUUCGCAGCGGCUUAGCGGUGUGAUAAUAUCUUCACUGCGGCCGGCUCGGCAGUGUCAAGUUCGGCUUCUAAUCGUCCGUCUCGGACAACUUCAUUGACAAUCUGACCUCAAAUCAGGUAGGACUACCCGCUGAACUUAA
rnacentral:rRNA from 1 species